rnacentral:rRNA from 1 species
UACGAAGGGGGCUAGCGUUGUUCGGAAUUACUGGGCGUAAAGCGCGCGCAGGCGGUUCUUCAAGUCAGAGGGGAAAGCCCAGAGCUCAACUCUGGAAUGGCCUUUGAGACUAGAGAACUAGGGUACGGGAGAGGUGAGUGGAAUUCCGAGUGUAGAGGUGAAAUUCGUAGAUAUUCGGAAGAACACCAGUGGCGAAGGCGGCUCACUGGCCCGUUACCGACGCUCAGGCGCGACAGCGUGGGGAGCAAACAGG